UCAACCCCUCCUCACCCUCAUUUAAGGGUUAGCAGCUAAGAGAACAGCAUCUCUCUGGAUGGAGAUUGUACUCCUUUUGAGCUAGUGCUGGUCAUGGGAAGGGCACCCCGAGUCUGAAACUUCAUCCUCUGUGAUGCAUGCCAUCUUGUAAAAAGAAGAAGACAAAGUUGUGCCUCAGCUGGUGAACCAAACUUGCCCUGAUCCAGAAGCCAAAUUUAGAUAAAACAUCUACAUGCAUACGAUGACAUCCAAUCCUCCAAAAGAGAUGGGCUACAUUCAAAUUUUGAGACAGCAAAUAACUCUUCACCACCAGUACUUACCACCAUACCAGCACAGCCAGGAGCACUCAUUCUUUUGCAGGACAUCAGAGGACAGCAGCUGUUCUAGUGAAGAGAGGGAAGCUCAGGGGACUGCUGGAGGAAGCAGGCCUCCAUCAUACCAUUAGUGAUGGCUCGGCCUACACAGCAGCAAGCAACCAGUCUGUCACUACUGGGCUUUCUCUGGAAAGUCUUCAUAGCUUUUCCUCUAUAAUUUAUUGGUUUCUUCAUGUAGAUGGAGCACAAGGUUAUUAGAAAAAUCUGCCUAGCUUCAUUUGUGCCAGAACAUUCAUUUAUUUUGCAUGGAUUAAGAUCAGCUUGAUGUCUGUUAGGGAGAAAGGCAGUCUCCCAUUGCUGUGAGGCUUUUGCCCUUUGCCUGAACAGGCCCAGUGAGCAAAUACUGGUUUAAUAAACCACAGUGACCCAGAAUCCUUGCUUGAGGAACAAAGAAAGCUGCUAUCCUAAUCUCAAAAAUUAGCCACUGACCAAGGACUGAAGUAAAUUCCUGAGGGGGUGGGUUGAGGUUUCAGACAGAAACAUCAUCCCAUGCAGUCUGGUCUGUGUGAUGUGUGAAGCAAGGCCUCCCCAUUGGGCUGCAGGAAUAUCACACUGCUGGAAGGCAGAGCAGCCUCUGGUAGGUACAGGGCAGUGAGAAACUCAGUGGAAGUUGGUACAGCAGCACAGCCAAAUAGUCUGGCUGUAACAGAGGCACCUGGGCAUCUUGCUAACCUCACAGGGUUGCUUUUCAAUCUUUUAAAUGGAAAAACAAAUGCCAACCAUCUGUUAGCAACUCCUUCAGCAAGGCAGAGCGGAGAGGUUCAUUAAAUCAGAGAAGGGCUUAAAAACAUAAAUCCACAAACAGACUAAACAGACUAAUACUGUACCAGAGCAAAAUAAGAUAGUGCUUUCAAAAUGCCCAGCUAAAGGUUAGUGGGCUGCAGGCAAAAUAGGGUAAAGCAAGGAAUCAGGGAGGAGGUACAGGAGAUGAAAGCCAGCAAAGAGAUAGGUAUAGAUCUCAGUAGAGUGCAAAUACCUCGGGGACGCAUUUCACUGUACCCACAUGGACCCACUUCAGAAAGGUCUGAAGUGACCCACAUGGACUCUGGCUUUGACAAAUCAAACAGAAAUGAGCAAAUUGCAGUAAGCAUGUGCCAGCCCUGGGCAGACAAGGGGUUCCUGUGGUAUGUCCAUCCCAAGUGCUCCCACAUGUACCUGCUCUGUAGCCAUGGGACAGCAAGGACAAUUGGGGAGCAGUCAGCUCUGGAAUCAGAUGGAGAGAAGGCAGCUGUCUAUGCUCUUAUGACUUGCCAAGCACAAAAAUGCUCUGCACAGGGCAUCUGAUCCACGGCGCAGGGAAGAGACAUCCAAAGUCAUUCAUCCCAUCUUCUUCUAGCAGGGCUACCCCUAAACGCUGCAUCACGAGUCAGUGAUCGUCAAUCAGGCAGUGGCUUUAUAUGCUGGGUCCUGACAACUGCCAAGUGUGAAGAACCCCAUAGUUCUCUGGUCUCCUCUUGAACAAAAUCAGGUGGAAGUGAGAUUGCCCUUUCUGUUGCUGAAGCCCAAACCCACUCCAUGUGACAGGGUUUUAGAUUCACUCCCUGAAUGAAUUAUCACAGAGGGCUCCUCUG